UAAGGAAUAUUGGACAAUGGAGGCAACUCUGAUCCAGCCAUGCCGCGUGAAGGAAUAAGGCCCUAUGGGUUGUAAACUUCUUUUAGACGGGACAAAACCCCUUUACGUGUAAAGGGUUGAUGGUACUGUCAGAAUAAGCACCGGCUAACUCCGUGCCAGCAGCCGCGGUAAUACGGAGGGUGCGAGCGUUAUCCGGAUUUACUGGGUUUAAAGGGUGCGUAGGUGGGCUUAUAAGUCAGUGGUGAAAUCUCCGAGCUUAACUUGGAAACUGCCGUUGAUACUAUAGGUCUUGAAUUAUCUGGAGGUAAGCAGAAUAUGUCAUGUAGCGGUGAAAUGCUUAGAUAUGACAUAGAACACCAAUUGCGAAGGCAGCUUACUACAUAUAAAUUGACGCUGAGGCACGAAAGCGUGGGGAUCAAAC
rnacentral:rRNA from 1 species